rnacentral:rRNA from 2 species
GCAGCAGUAGGGAAUCUUCCGCAAUGGACGAAAGUCUGACGGAGCAACGCCGCGUGAGUGAUGAAGGCUUUCGGGUCGUAAAACUCUGUUGUUAGGGAAGAACAAGUGCUAGUUGAAUAAGCUGGCACCUUGACGGUACCUAACCAGAAAGCCACGGCUAACUACGUGCCAGCAGCCGCGGUAAUACGUAGGUGGCAAGCGUUAUCCGGAAUUAUUGGGCGUAAAGCGCGCGCAGGUGGUUUCUUAAGUCUGAUGUGAAAGCCCACGGCUCAACCGUGGAGGGUCAUUGGAAACUGGGAGACUUGAGUGCAGAAGAGGAAAGUGGAAUUCCAUGUGUAGCGGUGAAAUGCGUAGAGAUAUGGAGGAACACCAGUGGCGAAGGCGACUUUCUGGUCUGUAACUGACACUGAGGCGCGAAAGCGUGGGGAGCAAACAGGAUUAGAUACCCUGGUAGUCCACGCCGUAAACGAUGAGUGCUAAGUGUUAGAGGGUUUCCGCCCUUUAGUGCUGAAGUUAACGCAUUAAGCACUCCGCCUGGGGAGUACGGCCGCAAGGCUGAAACUCAAAGGAAUUGACGGGGGCCCGCACAAAGCGGUGGAGCAUGGUGGUUUUAAUUUCGAA